GAAGCAGGGAAGCAGAAAUUGAUAUGGGUCAUACCAUAUUAAAUAGACUUGAAAAAGUAUGCUUGUUGGAAAGUGUUGUGGAACAGGGAGGCAGAUGUGUGAAGAUGCAUGACUUGGUUCGAGAUAUGGCCAUCCAAAUAAUGAAAGUGGAUCCAAGAGUGAUGGUUAAAGCAGGUAAACAGCUGUUUGAAAUGCCAAAUUGGAGGAAUUGGGCAG
rnacentral:misc_RNA from 1 species